rnacentral:pre_miRNA from 1 species
GUAGUUGGAUUCAUAUCAAUCCACAUAUGUUGGGGUGGGUUAUAGUGUAACUUGAACUAAAUUCUACCUCAAUCUACUUUAAUACAUGUGGAUUGAGAUUAAUACGACA